rnacentral:rRNA from 1 species
AUUGAACGCUGGCGGCAGGCUUAACACAUGCAAGUCGAGCGAGCGGCGGAGGGGUGAGUAAUGUCUGGGACACUGCCUGAUGGAGGGGGAUAACUACGGGACACGGUAGCUAAUACCGUAUUCCCUCAGAUGCGCCCAGAUGGGAUUCGCUAGUAGGUGGGGUAAUGGCUCACCUAGGCGACGAUCCCUAGCUGGUCUGAGAGGAUGACCAGCCACACUGGAACUGAGACACGGUCCAGACUCCUACGGGAGGCAGCAGUGGGGAAUAUUGCACAAUGGGCGCAAGCCUGAUGCAGCCAUGCCGCGUGUGUGAAGAAGGUCUUCGGGUUGUAAAGCACUUUCAGUUGGGAGGCGUUACUCACAGAAGAAGCACCGGCUAACUCCGUGCCAGCAGCCGCGGUAAUAC